rnacentral:rRNA from 1 species
GAUGAACGCUAGCGGCAGGCUUAAUACAUGCAAGUCGAGGGACAGCACAGGUAGCAAUACUGGGUGGUAACCGGCAAACGGGUGCGGAACGCGUACACAACCUUCCUUUAAGUGGGGGAUAGCCCAGAGAAAUUUGGAUUAAUACCCCGUAAUAUAGUUGAAUGGCAUCAUUUGAUUAUUAUAGCUACGGCGCUUAAUGAUGGGUGUGCGGCUGAUUAGAUAGUUGGCGGGGUAACGGCCCACCAAGUCUACGAGCAGUAGCUGAUGUGAGAGCAUGAUCAGCCACACGGGGACUGAGACACGGGCCCGACUCCUACGGGAGGCAGCAGGAAGGAAUAUUGGUCAAUGGACGCAAGUCUGAACCAGCCAUGCCGCGUGAAGGAUUAAGGUCCUCUGGAUUGUAAACUUCUUUUAUUUGGGACGAAAAAGGGCCUUUCUAGGUCAACUGACGGUACCAGAUGAAUAAGCACCGGCUAACUCCGUGCCAGCAGCCGCCGCCGUAA